CAACUCUCUGCAAGGUCCUAAGGGUUCUAAGUUGAAUAAGGCCCACUCCCUCCCUUCCAGGACUUUAGCUGAGGUUGGUUGGGGCAGAAGUCGGGCAAGACUCAUCGGAACGGAUUAACAGAGACAGAAUCCAGAGGCAACGGGGUGAAUUCCAAGUAUAGGUGAGGACCUGAGGCACAGAUGCUAACCAGCUUGCUGGAGAUCACACACUCAUGAGUGGCAGAGUGGGGCUUGGAACCGGGUAGCCUGGCUCUGGAGCCCUCACUCCAUCCACACACCAUGCUGGGACCCAGUCGAGUGACCAGCAGACCGGUUGUGUGGGUUAGGUGGAAUGGUGGAUAUAAACCACACAGCCCAGCUCCUGACCCAUGCUGGGCCCUCAUUCCUCCUGAAUUCCUUCUCAUUCCUGCCGCCUUCUGAAGAAGGUGCCUUGCUUCCCCUUCACCUUCUGCCGUGAUUGUAACUUUCCUGAGGCCUCCCCAGCCAUGCUGAACUCAUGAGGCAGGAAAGGAUAGAAGCCUUUCAGAGCCUGAGCCAAGUUCCUCCUCACAGAAGCACAGAGGACACUUACUCCAUCUCUGAAAAAGCUGCCCACACCCCACCUCCAUCCAGCCUUCCAAAAGCCACCACGAAUGACCCGUAGGAGGGGCAGAGUGUGCCACUUGCUACGGACCAGAACCUCUGGGGAGCGGGGAUCAUCUCUGUGUCUCUCUGCUUCAACUGCAUUUAAAAUGAACAUUCUUAAUGAUAAACCUUUCCGUGUGUAAAGAAGGGCGUGGAAAAAUGUAUGUACUGGAGACUCGGGUAAUGACUUUCUAAGUGUGGAAAAUUUUCCCCCAAAGUGUUUCCAAAUAUAGAAAAGUCACAUAAUAAAUGAUGAGGGCUCAUAAACCUUUCUGGCAGCAGUUGCAGGGGUCAGAACAAGGAAGAAGGAAUUCCCAGCUCCUAGGGCCUCGCAUCCCACACUGUCUUCUGGGCUACUGUGCAACCAAUGGUUCCGUAUCUGUACGUACCCAGGGGCUCCUUAGAUAAAUAAUUGAAGUGAAAUAUCAAAUGUGUUACUGGUUUUUUAAUGUCACUGAUAAAACCCCUAAAAUAGACUGCAUGUCUCCCAGCUCUUCUGAACCAGGAGUGUUUGGGAAGUUGAGAAUGUCACUGGUCACAUUGUUCCUUUCUCUUGUGUCUCUAAAGGGUUUUGUUGUUUUAGGUUUGUUAAUGGUUGUCAAACACAUGCCUCAGACAUUUUUAACCUCCUGGAAGCCUACUGGACUCAACACACUGAAAC
rnacentral:lncRNA from 10 species